UUUAAGAAUUAGAAGAAGAAAAAAGAAAGGAAGGGAAGAAAAGGGAAAAACUCAAAGGGGCUACAUCUUUAUUACCUUUUCUUCUACUUUUGAUAGAGUAAAAGAUCACAUAUUUAUAUAAAAACAUCCCCAAAAUCAUUCAAACUAAUUCCUAAAAUUAUGCUCUACUAAUUAAGAAUACAAAUAUCUACCUAUUUAGGAAUAUAAAUCCUACCCAUUUAGGAAUAUAUUAAACCUACUAAAUAGGAAUCUACCAAUUAGGAAUAUUGACUUUCCAUAACAAGAGUCAACCACCAAGAAAAUCAAAUCCAAGAUUUUUCUAUGACAACUUCGUAAAAGUUAAAACUCAAAUUGUUAAUAUCAUAUCGAGGUAGAGAAAAAUUGUUGAUAAUAUAACUCUCUCAAGAUGAUUGAGAUUAAGUUAGAAUAUGGAUAUGCACAGCAAUAUCAACGGAAUAGAACAGCAAAAGAAAAUACAAAAACAAAUCUUUCAUGGAAUUUUACAACUCAGUAUACUUACAAAGGGGAAUAGAUACUCUUGUG
rnacentral:misc_RNA from 1 species